GCAUUGUUKAAGAACGCAGCGAAAUGCGAUACUGGGUGGGAAUUGCAGAAUCCCGUGAACCAUCCGAGUCUUUGAAMGCAAGUUGCGCCCGAAGCCAUUAGRCCGAGGGCACGUCUGCCUGGGCGUCAC
rnacentral:rRNA from 1 species